rnacentral:rRNA from 1 species
ACGCUGAAGGAGGAGCUUGCUUCUCCGGAUGAGUUGCGAACGGGUGAGUAACGCGUAGGUAACCUGCCUGGUAGCGGGGGAUAACUAUUGGAAACGAUAGCUAAUACCGCAUAAGAGUAGAUGUUGCAUGACAUUUGCUUAAAAGGUGCAAUUGCAUCACUACCAGAUGGACCUGCGUUGUAUUAGCUAGUUGGUGGGGUAACGGCUCACCAAGGCGACGAUACAUAGCCGACCUGAGAGGGUGAUCGGCCACACUGGGACUGAGACACGGCCCAGACUCCUACGGGAGGCAGCAGUAGGGAAUCUUCGGCAAUGGACGGAAGUCUGACCGAGCAACGCCGCGUGAGUGAAGAAGGUUUUCGGAUCGUAAAGCUCUGUUGUAAGAGAAGAACGAGUGUGAGAGUGGAAAGUUCACACUGUGACGGUAUCUUACCAGAAAGGGACGGCUAACUACGUGCCAGCAGCCGCGGUAAUACGUAGGUCCCAAGCGUUGUCCGGAUUUAUUGGGCGUAAAGCGAGCGCAGGCGGUUAGAUAAGUCUGAAGUUAAAGGCUGUGGCUUAACCAUAGUACGCUUUGGAAACUGUUUAACUUGAGUGCAAGAGGGGAGAGUGGAAUUCCAUGUGUAGCGGUGAAAUGCGUAGAUAUAUGGAGGAACACCGGUGGCGAAAGCGGCUCUCUGGCUUGUAACUGACGCUGAGGCUCGAAAGCGUGGGGAGCAAACAGGAUUAGAUAC